rnacentral:rRNA from 1 species
GACGAACGCUGGCGGGAUGCCUUACACAUGCAAGUCGAACGGAGUGGCGAACGGGUGAGUAAUGUAUCGGAACGUGCCCAGUAGCGAGGGAUAACUACGCGAAGGCGUAGCUAAUACCGCAUACUAUUGGAGCGGCCGAUGUCGGAUUGGCUAGUUGGUGGGGUGACGGCUCACCAAGGCGACGAUCCGACGCCGGUUUGAGAGGACGACCCACCACACUGGGACUGAGACACGGCCCAGACUCCUACGGGAGGAAGCAGUGGGGAAUUUUGGACAAUGGGGGAAACCCUGAGCCAGCCAUCCCGCGUGGGUGAUGAAGGCCUUCGGGUUGUAAAGCACUGUUGGCAGGAAAGCGGUACCUGCAGAAUAAGCACCGGCUAACUACGUGCCAGCAGCCGCGGUAAUAC